GAAGAACGCUGGCGGCGUGCCUAAUACAUGCAAGUAGAACGCUGAAGGAGGAGCUUGCUCUUCUGGAUGAGUUGCGAACGGGUGAGUAACGCGUAGGUAACCUGCCUGGUAGCGGGGGAUAACUAUUGGAAACGAUAGCUAAUACCGCAUAACAGUAGAUGUUGCAUGACAUUUACUUAAAAGGUGCAAUUGCAUCACUACCAGAUGGACCUGCGUUGUAUUAGCUAGUUGGUGGGGUAACGGCUCACCAAGGCGACGAUACAUAGCCGACCUGAGAGGGUGAUCGGCCACACUGGGACUGAGACACGGCCCAGACUCCUACGGGAGGCAGCAGUAGGGAAUCUUCGGCAAUGGACGGAAGUCUGACCGAGCAACGCCGCGUGAGUGAAGAAGGUUUUCGGAUCGUAAAGCUCUGUUGUAAGAGAAGAACGAGUGUGAGAGUGGAAAGUUCACACUGUGACGGUAUCUUACCAGAAAGGGACGGCUAACUACGUG
rnacentral:rRNA from 1 species